GACGAGGAAGCAGGAGGAAGAUGAGGAAGCAGGAGGAAGACGAGGAAGCAGGAGGAAGACGAGGAUCAACAUUCCAGCUCUUCCUGCUGGUUUCCAGCAGCUCCUGAAUAAUGGAGGCGCUGCAGAAGGACGGCGGUUCUGGGAAUCAGGAGAGCAGGUUCCUGUUCACCUCAGGACAUGGAGCGUCUGUCUGAGACCGGGCAGAACCGGAUCAGAACCAGGGCCAGAACCAGGCCCAGAGCUGGGCCAGAACCAGGCCAGAACCAGGGCAGAGCCCAGAACCAGGCCAGAGCUGGGCCAGAACCAGACAGAGCCGGGCCAGAACUGGAUCAGAACCACGGCCAGAACCGGGUCAGAACCGGGUCCAGAAGCUGAGCCAGAAACCUGGAUCCGCUCAGUAACUUUUACCAACCAGAGAAACGUUUGAAGUUUCUCCUGCUUGCAGAUUUGAUGUUUUUAUCCAGAAGUUCAUUCUGUGUAAUAAUGAUUAAAUUAGUUAAACUCAGAUUAACUAAUUACUAGUAUAAAUGCUAACUACAUAAUUACAGUGAAAUAUUAAAUUGCUGCUGACUUUGUGGUUUAAAAUGUAUAAACAUGAUUAAAUUUGACUAGGCCGUCACAAUAAGCAAUAAAUCAAUUAAUCACAUGAUAAAUUAACACAAACUGAUUGAUCGUUUUUCUCUUUCUACCAAAUCCUGGAUGAUUAAAGUCCGUUUGCUGUUUUGGUUUCCACUGAACCUUUUGUUGAAGGACAGUUUGUUAACAGAGGUUUCAUAAUUCAUUUUAUUUCUUUUUCUAUUUAUUUUGGAUAUUUAAAAUGUUUUCCAGUUCCAGAGUUAAAUGGUCAUGAGAAUAAGUUCUGGUAUUAUUACCAAUUAUAUAUUAAUAUAUUAACAUUUAUAUUCCUAGAAAAUGGUCUCAAAACAACAAUAUCAACAUUUAGCAUAAUAACUUCUGAUUUGUGGCCUAAAUUCGACCAGGAAAUGUUAAAGUGUUUCCUCCAGUUUGGGACGGAGGAAUUUAAUCAUCUCAGGUAAAAAUGGAGUAAAAAUGGAAGCUGAUUCACCUGUAAAGAAGGUGGAACAUUUUACCUAAAUCAAGAAUAACUCAACAUCCUCCUUAUCUUCAGUUGGUGGAAAUUCAAUCUAAUCUGCAGAUUUUCUUUGAGAAAUGAAGAUUUAUUAUGAGGAAAUGCAGGAAGUAGACUGCACCCACCCACCAGGUCACAAACCCUGAGGAGAGGAAGUGGACGAACCUGAUGAUCCUUUAAUCCCUGCUGCAAACUGAUAUAAUUUGAUAUAAAACCGUGUGUGUGUGUGUGUGUGUGUGUGUGUGUGGACUCUGGAUUAAAACCAAGGCAAACACUUCAUAAUCCCGUCCACUGUUUCCACAGCAACUAAUCAGCAGCGUCAAAACUGAUUCAGUUUAAGGAGUUCUGACAUCAUAACGAAGGAGAACUUAAAGUCAGUAAGAAUUAUUCUGAUUGGUUUAUGCAGAGAUUGAUCUGCAGGCUGGAGCAACCAGGACUUUAUUCUAAGGUCUUUAUUACACAUAAGCUUCUUUAGUCCAUCUUGUUAAAGUGGUUCAGCUCCAACAGGUGUAAACACAACUAAUGUGGGGCUCAAACAGAUUCUACCUGCAGCCAAGAAAUCAGACUGAAUGUUUCUGCUGAGCCAGGAACAUCUGGGCAUGUCCAGGAUUUAUGAACCCGGACAAUUAUUCUGGACAAUUAUUCUGACUACAAAAUUAUUCUGACUACAAAAUUAUUCUGACUACAAAAACCCGAUGGAGUCUCAGAUCCUUCUGAGUCCAACAGGAAGUCAGAGUUCAGUGAUUUAAUUAGGCCGGAGCAGAAACCCAGCAGCUUAUGAAGGACCAACAAGUGAAAGAAGAAUCUGCUGAGUCAUGCUAGCACCAGAGUGCCGAGUCACUGGUUGCUAUGGUGAUUUUUACCUGUGAUUUUCAAGAGUCUAGAAACAUAAGGAGGGUGAAUAAAAGUUAAAGUAAUUAAAGUCUAAACUUUAAUUUUCUCCAAAAGUAUAAAACUCAGUGGAGGAAUCUAAAACACUGAGAGGUGAAGGGUCAAAGCUACCAAGCCGCUCCGUCUCGCGCCGCAACGCUAACGCAUCAGAGUCCAACUUCCUUUGACUUGUUCAGGCUUCAGCUGUGAAGCCCGGCUGACCUACAGGUCCAAACAGGACUGGGUUCUCUAACUCAGUCAGUUCCAUCAUGAAACUGUUUAUCUGAAGCUUCCUAAGCGUGUUGGACUUAGCAUCCCCAUGCUAACCUGAUGCUAAGCUAGCAUCUUAUUCAGUCUGGACGACUGACUGGACAUGAAGGACCAGGUGGGCCUCGAUUCUAACCAACAGGUCUGCAGCUCUAGUUGGGAUUUUAUUAUCUGAACUUGUGUUUUCUUAUUGUUGGAAGUUGUUUCAUAUUUCUGCUACAGAGAAAUAAUUACUCAGCUCUAAAUGUUACAUUUCAUCCACUCUUUAGCAGGAACUGUCAGAGUGUGACGUUAUUUUUAUUCCUGCCAGAGAAAACAUUUGUUUCCUUUUUUUAAAUUGGUCUCUGUCCUCCCCAACAGCAACUCCCACGUGCACGCCCACGUGCACGCCCACGUGCACGCAGAGCAGAGAGAUUUCAGGCUUGUGGCUGGUGAGGCCAACAGAGCAGCAGGCUUUACGUAACCCAGUUGGCCCCCAGACUGUGUUCGGGUUGAAUGGGGACAUCUCACUGCAACACACAGAGAAAAGGCUUUCUGUGCACACACACACUCACACACACACACCCCGACACACACACACACACACACACACACACACACACACACACACACACACGCCGACACAGAUACACAAACACACACUAGUACCCAGAAAACGCUCACACAAAGGCGAGCGGGAACACUGUGUAUCCUCCACACACAUUUAAAGAGUGGAAACUAGGUUGGGACGUCCUGUUCACUUCUGCCCUCACAGCCAAUCAGAGCUCAGCUCUGUUGCACAGCUCUGCAGGCUGUCGCCCCGUGUAACCUGCACCAAAUGAGCUGCUGACCCUCAGUGUGUGUGUCCAUUACAUACAUCAGAUGAGCUGUGGGUUGUAAUAAUCAUCACAGCGCGAGCGGCGGAGGAUCUGGACUUUGGGUCAGUGGGACAGUCCAGAUUUAGAUGGAAAGAAACGCUGAAUGUUUGGGUUCAAUCAGCUGUGAAGGUUUGAACCAGAUAAAAAGGAUGAGUCGGCAUGGAGACAGCAGCAGCCGGACCGGAGACGGCGCCGCAUCAGAACCUCUGUCAGCCGCCAUGAUGCAGCGAUCCAACAGGCUGGAGCAAAACCAAAACAUCAACACACCUUCUCGUGGCGUUUCCUGGCCAGAAGGGAAACUCGGCCCCUCCUCACUGCGCCGGGAGACCCUGGAGGUGGUACAGAAACAUCCUGAUGGACCCAAAGCUUCCCAAACCAUCACACUCAUCCCGCCCAGAAGCCCCGCCCACCAGGUAAUGGAAAGGAAACGUCUGCAGAGAGCAGAGGGGAGGAUUUAUCUAAUCAGAUUAAGAUUCAUUCAUUCCAGGAUCAACCAAACUCUCGUUUCCUCCACUGGAACAACUGCUUCCAAUCCCAAAGUCAUUUUUUGUUUUCAAAGCAGUCCAGGUUCCUCUGGUUCUUCCUGCCCAGCAGCUGCUAGGAGACCGAAGGACUGAUGAUGAUCGCUCCCACUGCAGAGAAACCACAGAGCUCAGACUGCUGCAUCCGCAGUGCACAAAGCAGCGUUUUCACAGGUCCUUCCUCCCAUCACUGCUUCCAACAAACUCAAUAAGUGCCAAUAUUUGCAAAGCUUCAUUUUAAAUAACAUUCAUGGUGCUAUUGCAUGUUUUUUUUUGUUUUUGUGUAAUUAAUGCACAAAAACGUCAUCCUGCUACUUGAACAUCCUUUGCAUUGCAGCACAUUAUUUCCUAACUACACAGUAUUUUCUGUAAUAAUCUUUUACAGUAUAUAAUUCUUAAUCUUGUUUUUAAACAUCUCCUCCAUUCUCUGACCUUAUCAGGCAUCUUUUCUGCACAGAUACAUUUAUUAAAAAAUCCAGUUUAUGACUAUAAAACCUCCAGGACACAAAAACAAGCAGAAACUCUUCAAAUCAAACUGAAACUGAUUGAUUUACAUCAUGUAAGCUGAUAAAAUCACCACCAGUUCACAAGUAGAACAAGAAGUAAAAAACUCCACCAAUAAUCCAAUUAAGGGACUAAAAAGGAGCCAACAGCCCCCCCCCUCACAGGUCAGAUUAAUCAGCACAGAAAUGUGGGUGUUGCUGUUCCAGCCAAUCGGACGGCUGCUCCGGUCCUGAGGAGCCAAUCACGUUGAGACAGAAGAGGAAAGGAGAGAUAAGACGGCGGGGGUUUAAUCCUGUCACAGGUUAAAUCUCUGGGCUUCAGGUUAUCAAAGCUGCCAUUAAUCAGUUCCAUCCCACAGAAAGACAGAGUCACCAAACGGGUUUUAUUUCUACAAUUUAUACAGUUUCUAGUUAUUUUUUUUAGCUAUCCAGAUCGAUCUCAUCUGUAUAGAUCCUAGCAGAGACAGAUGCUCACUACAACCUUUUUCUGGACCACCAACAGAUGUUUAUGACAAACCGACAUCUGGGAUUUAUCCACGACAGGAAUCAUGGGUAAAAACUCAGUAUGGUAGAAAUUUAAAAAGAACCACUUCUGUUUUCAUUUACCCUGAAACUCUGGGUUGAGUUUCUGACAUUUCUGACUGUUUCCAACAGUAAAUAUCACAUUUCUCAUCUAAAACUUGUUCACAGCUCAUGUUUUAUAUGCAGCUGUUUAGAAACAGGCAGUAAAAUACUUUAACAAAAUAAAAUAUUUGUACUCAUGUUCUUUAAAGGGUUUUCUUCUGAUAUUUAUGAAAAUUGCAUCCCUCCAUCCAUCUUCACAACAUUUAAUUUCCCUUAAGGAUUAAUAAAAUGUUUUUGAAUUGAAUCUGAAUUUUGAAUCCAGUGUUAGAGUGCAGAGAGAGAACUUGCAUUAUUAUGCUGUUAUAAAUAUAUUACUUUAAAAUGGUCUGGAAACAGGAAUAUUAUCAUUUAUCAAAAUAAAUGUUCAGACAAUUUAUCAUCCAGCAAAACCUGUCACUGUGACAAAGUGUUACCUGGCUGAAGAUUACGGAAAGUAAGUUCCUGAAGGAAAAUGUUCCUUAAAGUAUUUAAUUUAUAAAUUAAAUCAGCAACAAAGUUUGGAGAAAAUAUUUACAAACUGAAGAAAACACCUGAGAGCUGCAACGAGCUGUGGAUCAAUCAGAUUCCAAUAGAAACAAAAAGAAAUUCCUCCCGCGCCGUGUGACUAAACAGUUUUAAA